ACAAAGUCAGCUUUGAUUUUGAAUUCCCCAUUCAAACAGCAAACGCUACCCCCAUUUCAAAACUCAAAUCCAGUCUCUCUCUCGUGCUCUCAUAUUUAGUGCAGAUCUAGGUUUUUCAAUACCCAAUUUCCGCACUUACGUUUGGAUUUUCUGAUAACAUUUCACCAUGACACUUGAAUGAGGCAAGUUCUAUUUUGGAUUUACUCAAACAAAAACUCAAUUUGAUCUUGAUCUAAGAUUCUGUGUUGUACCACAUAGGGUUGAAAUCAAGAUCUACGUAUAAAGAAGAUGGGCGCGGAAUAGCGAUUUUAGCUCGGAACGAUCAGACAUUAGGUUAACCUGUGAUUUCUUUAGUGUGGCAACAAGACUCUCAUUAGCACCGUUGGUUCAACUUCUGACUAGUGGAUGGUGAAUGGGGAAGCUUGCAUUGGAAUCUUUGCAAUUAGGGAUAUAAGAUGAUGGAGAUUUGAUGAAUGUGCGAGCAAAGGGGAUACAUCAGCUCUGUUGCAGAACGGUACAGAGUUCGACGACCGGAGAUCAUUCUCCAGAGAGACGGCGACGGUAUUAUCUACAGCUUGUUCCAUUGCCGAUUUGAGAUCCAACGUCAAUAGGGAUUUCAAAUGUGGGUCUUUGAAAAACAUGGCUAUUGAUGAUUUAAGGAGAAUGUAAAGCAGACAAAUUGGUGAAACUAAUUGGAGUUUUUGUAUUGGUGUUGGAAAUAUGAUGGAUUUAAUGAGAAGGUGUGUAAAUGCCUCGAAGCGCUUUGUGCUUUUUGAACCAAGG